UAGGGUUUGGAUCAGACAUGAUCUCAAAUUUUCCAAUGAGAUCUUGUUAAUUAAUCACACUUUUCUCAUCCAAGAGGUGAAAUUACAACACAGUCAAAUGGAGAACAAACUAGGUAUCUCAUCAAGCUCAGGCAUGACCAAAGAUAAAAUAGAAUAUGUCAUCAAGCUUCACUGUCAAGAAGACAAACAACCCAAAAAUAUAUGAACACUUAUGCCGUUAGACAGAAAUUUUUACCGUAGCAUCAUUUUACACGGCCAGAACACAGAUUACACAUAAGAAACAAAACGGCAACAAAGAUAGAGGAGAAUAGUUGUUUAUUCAUAAGCUAGCCGGUGUGCACUCAAGCCCAAGGGCUGCUAUCAAUUGCCUUGGUUGAACAUGCUGGUGAUUUCCUUUGGUAUAAUGCAGGCCUGGGAGCACAUGGUGGCGCAGGAGACAUCGUUGUUGCCAUUGGAGCAGCGUCUGAAGCACUCGUCGAAACAGCCACCGGCACUCACGGCCGGCACUGCCAACACCACCAGCAUGGCGAUGAGGAGGAAAGCAACCAUAGCCAUCUUGGUGUCAGCCAUUUCUAUAAAGAUGAUGGGAUCUUGGUAUGGUUCAAACACUGACGAUGGGGGUUGUUUCUUCGUUGCAGGUGGC
rnacentral:lncRNA from 1 species